rnacentral:rRNA from 1 species
GACGAACGCUGGCGGCGUGCUUAACACAUGCAAGUCGAACGGAAAGGCCUUUUCGGCGGUACUCGAGUGGCGAACGGGUGAGUAACACGUGGGUGAUCUGCCCUGCACUCUGGGAUAAGCCUGGGAAACUGGGUCUAAUACCGGAUAGGACCGCACUUUAGUGUGUGUGGUGGAAAGUUUUUUCGGCGUAGGAUGAGCCCGCGGCCUAUCAGCUUGUUGGUGGGGUAAUGGCCUACCAAGGCGGCGACGGGUAGCCGGACUGAGAGGUUGGUCGGCCACAUUGGGACUGAGAUACGGCCCAGACUCCUACGGGAGGCAGCAGUGGGGAAUAUUGCACAAUGGGCGCAAGCCGGAUGCAGCGACGCCGCGUGGGGGAUGACGGCCUUCGGGUUGUAAACUCCUUUCGCCAGGGACGAAGCGUUUUGUGACGGUACCUGGAGAAGAAGCACCGGCUAACUACGUG